CAAAGAAGUUCUACUUGAAGAUAACCAAUUGCAGCUCUAUUUUUUAAUCUUAACACCUCAUUAUUCAAGCAUUGACAUUGGAUAAAACUUUUCUACUCAACCGUCAACCAAGUGUUUUAUAUUUCCAAUGACGAGCAUGUGGUGAAAUUUCAAACAAUUAAAGAUGCUCUCAUCUCAAGUGACGAAAUCCAUUAUAUAAGGUACACAAAAUUCUAGAUCUUAUAACANNNAAGGUACACAAAAUUCUAGAUCUUAUAACAUUUGCAUUAUAUUAAGCUUGAAUACAUUUAUGCAAUGUUAUUAUGUGAUUGAUUUGAUGAUCUUGAAAUCUAGAAUUCAGUGUGAAAUUUUCUCUAU
rnacentral:lncRNA from 1 species